AACGAACGCUGGCGGCAGGCUUAACACAUGCAAGUCGAACGGGCGCAGCAAUGCGUCAGUGGCAGACGGGUGAGUAACACGUGGGAACCUUCCUUAAGGUACGGGACAACUCAGGGAAACUUGAGCUAAUACCGUAUACGUCCGAGAGGAGAAAGAUUUAUCGCCUUUAGACGGGCCCGCGUCGGAUUAGCUAGUUGGUGGGGUAACGGCCGUACCAAGGCGACGAUCCGUAGCUGAUCUGAGAGGAUGAUCAGCCACACUGGGACUGAGACACGGCCCAGACUCCUACGGGAGGCAGCAGUGGGGAAGUCUUGGACAAUGGGGGAAACCCUGAUCCAGCCAUGCCGCGUGAGUGAAGAAGGCCUUAGGGUUGUAAAGACUCUUUUGUCCAGGGACGAUAAUGACGGUACCUGGAGAA
rnacentral:rRNA from 1 species